rnacentral:rRNA from 1 species
UACGUAGGGUGCAAGCGUUAAUCGGAAUUACUGGGCGUAAAGCGUGCGCAGGCGGUUAUGUAAGACAGAUGUGAAAUCCCCGGGCUCAACCUGGGAACUGCAUUUGUGACUGCAUAGCUAGAGUACGGUAGAGGGGGAUGGAAUUCCGCGUGUAGCAGUGAAAUGCGUAGAUAUGCGGAGGAACACCGAUGGCGAAGGCAAUCCCCUGGGAUAACACUGACGCUCAUGCACGAAAGCGUGGGGAGCAAACAGG